UCCAGUCAGCUGAAAACCAAAUGAGAUGGAGGUUGCUGAAAUGAUAGAGAUUUGUUUUCUGUAAAGAGUUGUAGACCAUAUUCAAUUGAGAGAGUUUGAUCCUCCUCACUUGCCUGGACAGUAGCGGUCAUUGCAGAGUGACUUCCUCAAGUAUUGUUGUGAUCUUUGAUUCCAGGUAUGAAGAUAUGGCACUCUUUUGCGCAAAACCACGAGCUGUACAAUUCUUUUGAUUCGGUGGUUUCCUCUGAAACUGAUGGAAUAGGCACUGCAAGUAGCGGAGCGAUGUCUUUAUUAAAACGGCUCAGGAAAAGUUAUAUGUUAGACUGAGGAUAAAAGAGACUUUCGAAAGAAGACAUGGGAUUCAUAAACUUGCUCCAUGAGGAGGCUAGUCACACAAGUCUCGGGAUCAGAAUCAUCAGAUCAGUACCUUCAUCACAAUUGAAGCCUGAGUUCAUUGUGUUGAUAACUCCCAAAGAGAUGU
rnacentral:sRNA from 1 species